AUGAAACAUUCAUCUGAAAGAAUGAGUACAACCAGAAGGGACUCACUAGGAAUACAAUUAAAUCCUAAUCUGGGCAGGAGAAAUCCUCUGAAGAGACGAUGGCAGGAAAACAAUGAGAAUAGGAAGGGGGAAACUAGGUGAGGCGAUGUUCGGCUUUCUGGUAUCGUCCCUCGGACCUCCAUAAAGAAGGCAGCGGCCCAUCAAACCCAGUCCACUAUAAUGUUUAAAAGUCCACUCCAUGUUUUCUACUAGGCCUAGCUGACCAGAAUCAGGAGCCAUUUUAGGUUUUCCUCAGGGCUCACUUCCUUCUCACUCUAGGCUUGGUCAGCCAGACUCAGGUAGGCCUCAGCGAACAGAUCUGUUUGCACUAAAGCUGCUUAAACGAAGCUGGACUUUUGCUUUGAAGAGCAUUUCCCAGGGUCCACAAAGAAGCUUACCCAGGAAUCAGUACUAUUUUUCUAGAAAAAGAGGUGCUGGAACUCGUCACGAACGCCUCCCUCGUUCUAUUGAAUGACAACAGCUCUGACCUGAAAAGUGCCGGAACUGAAUUCCGGAAAGUUCCGGCUGAAAAAAGCCCUGAUCCUUGGUAAUCCAGGCAUGCACCUGAAGUUCAAGUUCUGCUGCUGGUUCAGGUGCUGCUGGUUUAAUCCUCCACCUCAUCUCUGGUUGCCCUUUCCUUCUGACCCCUCUUGGCACCCGGCCUGCUUGUCUUCCUAGAAUUGUGCCUGUUUACCUGGCUGUUCAACCUUGUUAACCUGCCUAUUUUUGCUUUCAUACAGUUGGUGGGGGGGAGCCCUGCCUGGACUGUUGCAUUGCAAUCUGUGUGGGGCUUCCCUUGCCGCUGGUCUCAAGGCUGCAGCUGGGGCAGGACCCCACAGCCCAGUUGAGGGCUGGUGCUCCUUAUCGGGCACACAUCCUGCCAGUGCUGAGCGUGCUGCACUGGCUGCCAAUCAGACACCAAGCCUUUUUUUGGGGAUUCUGCUACUUACAUACAAAGCCCUAAAUAAAUCUGCACCAUGUUACUACCACCUUCUGCUCUGUUGCCCGCUAAGGGUGCUACAGCCAGCAAAUGUCACCUUUUGAGAUCCUCUCUAAAGAACAACGAGAGAGAUCUUUUCUAUCUGAGCUCAGCUGGUUAGAGCAGGGGUCAGCAAUUUUUUUUAGCCACGGGCCAGUCCACUGUCCCUCAGACCUUGUGGUGGGCCAGAGAAGGGGCACCUAGGGAGGAGAGAGCUGGAAGAAGAGGUGAGGGGGGCAAGUAGUCCUACCCUCUAGCCCCAGCCCCAGCCGCUGUGCUUACCUUCCCAGGGGCUGCCGCCACCACCACCACCACUACUGUUUGUUCUUCUUGUGGGUAGGCAGAGUGAGCUCGUCCGCUCUGCUCUCUGGCCCACAGGAGCACCAGGGCGGCGGUGGCAGCAGCGGCAGAGGGAAGAUGAGCGGCUCGAAAGGGCUGGCUCCAGAGAGGGACUGCUUAAAAUGGCACUCAGUCAGCUCAGCCUAGCCCUCAUCCUCCUCUAGGCAAGGCGAGGAGAAGCCAGGAGGAGGGAGGGAGGAGUGUGUGUGGGGGGGGGAUGGAAUGGGGCAGGGAGGGAUAUGGCACAGCCCGAACGAACAGAAUCCCCAUGCCAAUCCACGGACAGUCUGCUGGCCGGAUCCUGAAGGCAAUUGGGCCUGAUCCGGCCCGCAGCCCUUAGUUUGGCAAUCCCUGGGUUAGAGGUAAAAAUGUAAAGGUAAAGGGACCCCUGACCAUUAGGUCCAAUCGUGGCUGACUCGGGGGGUUAGAGGUAAGGACCCUUAUAUGGUUAAGACCAGUCAAAGGCGAUUAUGGGUUGCGAUGCUCAUCUCGCUUUCAGGCCGAGGGAGCCGGCGUUUGUCCACAGACAACUUUCUGGGUCAUGUGGCCAACAUGACUAAACUGCUUCUGGCGCAACAGGACAUCGUGACGGAAACCAGAGUGCACGGAAACGCUGUUUACCUUCCCGCCGCAGCGGUACGUACUUAUCUACUUGCACUGGUGUGCUUUCGAACUGCUAGGUUGGCAGGAUCUGGGACAGAGCAACGGGAGCUCACUCUGUCAUGGGGAUUUGAACUGCCCGCCUUCUGAUCGGCAAGCCCAAGAGGCUCAAUGGUUUAGACCACAGCGCCACCCUUGUGUGUAUCAGCAUGGUGCUGAUAAUGCCAAGGUUUGCAGGUUCGAUCCCCCUAUGGGAGGACAGCUGCAUAUUCCUGCAUUGCGGGGGGUUGGGCUAGAUGAUCCUCAGGAUCCCUUCCAACUCUGCAGUUCUAUGAUCUUCGGGAUUAUCUCCAAUCUCAGCUCUGUGGUGCUUAGCAUCGAGAUCUGAGAAGCUUUCACCACAACACAAUGUGGCCCUGUGGUUGAAAAAUGUUCCCUGCGCUUCUGCUAUGUGCAGUUAACCUGGGAGCAACUCCCAUGGAACUUAGUAGAGUUUACUUCUGAGUAAAUCUCUGAGUGGGCCUAACCCAUAGUGCUAGCCCUCUGUUUUCAGUUUCAACACUCCAGCCACAUAUAAUGAAAUGAGGAAGAAAAGGUUUCUUUCUGAUAAAUCCCCACUUCCCUUGAGCCAAUCCUCUUUUGUCCAAUGUCCUUAGCAUGCUGUUUGCCUUGACUGCAGCCCAAGAGGUAAUGCCCAUUUCUUCUAGCAGAAAAAAGAGGUUUUAUAGGUUACAUUUAAGAGUGGCAGCCCUAAAAGAUACAGAUCUUUUGCCUGGGGUUAACAACUCCGGAGAUUUCUGAAGGUACAUUAACACCUUAGAUUUAGGUACCACACAGCAACAAGCAUACAUCUUUGGAAGAUGGAAGCAAAUCAGACACUGCCUUUGUAUGUCACAGGGGAUUACACCGUUUUAGUGUUUAUGCCCUUUGGCUUUACAAAUGUACCUGUCAGUGCUCCAGAGGUUAGCGAGGAGGGUCUGGGUUAAAAUGGACUUACUGGAGUUAUUUUGCUUUCUGCAGAUCACGUGGAAACUUCAGGAGAUUGGGAAAGGCUUGUUGUGAUUCAGAAGGAUUAUGGAGCCUUUGGUUGUUUAACGUUGUUGGGCUUUUAUGGUGCUUUUAGGCAAUGCUUUUCUUCUGCAUACCCUUUGCAUACCCAGAAAAAAGCACUGCUUUUAUGGAUUUGUGCUGGUCUGGCUUGCUGCUCAAUAUGCGCGCAAGCUACCUAAACUGGAGAAAUUCAGAAUCUACAGAGUGGCAUCCGUCAGUUGAAUUGUUUUAUGGCUUAUCUAAUAAUGCAUGUUUAGAAACCGGAAGGAUUCCUGUUUUGGUCAUAUAAGUGUGACCUGCAACAAAAUGGUGGAGUCUGGAGUGCUCUUAUUCAGGAUGCCGGCCAGCCAUGACCUUUUCCAGGAUAUUCCAUUCCAUCCCCCCCAUAAUUUUCAGUUCUGCCAUGCAACAGUCAGUCAGCAUUCGGCUGUUUAGGGGAUUCGUUUCCCUCCUCAAAAAUUCAUUGUCCAUCUGAAAACCUUGGUGUCCCCCUUUGUCUGCUGAUAUCUUCCCUUUUUUGUGUGGGUCAUGCUGCUUUGGCUACUUAAGGACGGACAGUUGGAAAAUGAGUGGACUCUGGGAAAACAAUAUAGGAUUGUGUAACUUCAGAGUACCCCAGAGUACCUAAGGAGCUUACUGGGAACUCACUGUAUGAAACUGAAGCCCGGGGGUCAAGAACACUAGGGAUAACAUUGACUCUUUUGAGUUACUGGUAUUAUUAGUUAGUAGUAGUAGUGUUCAUAUUGUUAUUAGUAAUAGUCUUGGUAGUAUUAAUAGUAAAGAUAAAAGUAAAAGACCCCUGGACGGUUAAGUCCAAUCAAAGGCGACUAUGGGGUUGUGGCGCUCAUCUUGCUUUCAGGCCGAGGGAGUCGGUGUUUGUCCACAGACAGCUUUUCUGGCUCAUGUGGCCAGCAUGACUAAACCACUUCUGGCGCAACAGAACACUGUGACAGAAGUCAGAGUGCAUGGAAACGCUGUUUACCUUCCCGCCGGAGCGGUACCUACCGUAUUUAUCUGCUUGCACUGGCGUGGUUUUGAACUGCUAGGUUGGCAGGAGCUGGGACAGAGCAACGGGAGCUCACCCCAUUGCGGGGAUUCAAACCACUGACCUUCUGAUCGGCAAGCCCAAGAGGCUCAGUGGUUUAGAACAUAGCGCCAUCCGCUUCCCAUAGUUAGUAGUAUUCAUAUUAUUAGUAGCAUUUCUUACCUGUCCUUCACCAGAAGGUCAUAAGGUAUACUACAUAUAUAAAACAACAAACAGUUUAAAAAAAUCAGUCUAUAAAAUGCAUUAUAGGGAGGGCACCCAAAUCAGUUAUUCAAUUUCCCAAGAGAUGGACAUAAGCUGUAAAGGAAUGAUGCUUAGAUGUACCUCUGUGGGGAAGGAGUUCUACCAGUGGCAGACUUGUGGUUUAAAUUUUCAGUGCUGCCUUGUGUGAUGCCAAAAUUUGAUGCCCUGCACCUCUCACCUUCCACUGUUUGUCAUUAUUGCAGCCCUGAGUGCAGGUGAACUAGCCGUGCUCCCCUAAAUCCUCUGGCUCUAUAUUCUUUGAGCCACCAUUGAGAAGAUCCUCUCACGAGCCCCAAUCCCACUGAACUUCUUAGAGCGAUGGAAGAAGUUCCAGGCGGUUUCCUCUGCUCGGCCUCCUGCUUAGAGAAGCUUAAAAGGUUGGUGUUGUUGCUUGGGUAGCCACAGGACAGGACCCUCAGCACCCUUUUGCAGCCCACCACUCUAAAAAAUCACCCACCUCCUGUUUUAUAGCUGUGUGACACAACUUACAUGCUUAGCCCAGGCUCCAGCCUUAGUCACAUAACUGGAAAUAUCUUUUCCUAAGAGUUUGGAUAAAUGCUUUCAUCAUGUGGCUCAGAUAUCUUAGCAUUGCCUGAUCAUUGCUUUUUUGGGGGGGG
rnacentral:lncRNA from 1 species